CCGAUAGGUGAAAUUUAGCGAUUGAGAUUAUAAUACCCACCGAGAAGAAAAGGACAAGCCAUCGUGACUUUCUCGGUUCCUCCCAUGGAUCCCUAGAUCAGGUCUGGUCACCGCCACACCUUUCAUCUCGCCCCCAGCGCAUGGAAUCCGAGCUAGAGCCCCACAACGACCGCCAUCGGGAAUCCACCGCGCUCAAUCGGGGAAGUUCAUCAUGCUCCUGCUGCUCGCCAUCCCAGACCUACCCGAGUGCGCUGCCCAUCCUCUGGAUCGUCGCGCUGGUCCGGCGGCACUACGCCUCUCUGGGCGCUGGUUUGCUGCGAUGGUAGCGGCGCCACCAACGACGAGCACCUUGACCAGCUGCUCAUCACGGGGAUAAAUUCGUUGAACCGCCUCCUAGAGAAGCCGCUGGCCCGGCGGCGGCGGGGUGCCGAGGUCUACCCACUCCUCUACCUUCGACUGGUGCGGCAGCUCGAGCACCUUGCCGAUCGCUCAUCGAUCUCACUUUUACGUCGCAGCUCCAUACCAGCCAUCUCCAGAUCUCCUCCACCACUUGUGAUGAGGCCCUGCUAAAUAUUGAAGAGGUGUAUGUCCCAGCCAUCGACAAUCCCUCUGCGUACAAGAUCAAUCCCAUGGCACUGUCUCCUUCUCAUGCAUGCUUCUAGAGGCUAGCAAUUGUGCGCCGAUUCCCCCUCUCCUUAGAAUGGCGCUUCAAUGAGAAAUACGAUAGCGGCCGCAGCGGCGACGCCAUCAUUGAUGAAUGAACUUCUCUUUUAAUUGGCGAUGCAACACACAAGGAUCCUCCCUCUGACCAUUAUACAAAUGAUGAUCAAUGUCUUUACCAACAUGAGUAUGGGCAAGGUUGACAUGAAGGGACUGAUAAUGGAUCAGCAAGAAGUGGUCGGGCAAGAUGUCUUGAUAUCUGGUGAGGAGUUGGAGGGAGGACAGAGCAUGCAAUUCUUCAGGGAGCACAACAGUAUUUUCAGUCCUGAAGCAGCAACUCUUGCAAUGACGGGAGACUAACACAACUUGUUGCGCGGACAAUCAAGUUUUUUUUGUUCAGGAUAAAAUAUAUGAAGUGCUAAUUAUCAUCACUCCGUGCAUUACUGCAAUUUUAGCACAUGAUUAUUACAACCUGAAAAUAUGUGUUGCACUUCCAAAACGCAUGACAUGCCUGCAGCAGGCAAUUCACUAAAUUGAAAGAGUUAACAAAGUGUAUGGUUUUGGCUGAACUUCAAUUACUGGUUGGCUUUCAAUUCUGAAUUUCCGUUCUGUUCAGAUAUAGUUUGAUGAUAUUUUGGCAAUUUCAUCACGGAAAUGGGCAUCAUUGAGGAAAAUGAACUUCGAAUGGAGGCAAGAUUCUGUCGACCGGGAGGCCAUGCUGUCCAAAUUCAGUAAACGGCAAAUGAAAAGAAGGAAUUGUAUUGAUCAAAGUUCUUUACUUUUUUAGAUUUAGCUGGGACAAACUGGUAGAACCUAAUACCUAUUUUUCUGCUCUAAAGUCUAUUAUAAUUUAUCUAAUCCUCUCUAAAUUAAUUUUUUUAUUUGCUCUAUGUUUGACAGUCAUUUGAGUAACUGAGCAUCUGGAAUAACCGAAUAGCAAAAACAGAUCCAACAUCCUUUCAAUAUGAGAACAGAGGUGAAUAACAAAAUCUUUGGCUGUGGUUUUAUUUUUUAGUCCGCAAGUUGGUAGUAUAGUAGAUUCAGUACUGGUAUACUAUUAUUGAUAUAUUGGAUGAUGCAUGAAUCGUUUUAUAAUAGAAAAGAAGACGUGAUAGAGAACACCAGUUUUUCGAACAAUACAAGAAAUGCUUAUUUCAGGAUGAGAAAAUUAAUUCUUUUAUUUCUCGCAUGGAUUGAUGAAUUGCGCUUCCAUGUAGUGAAUGAUGAAAUCUUCCCUGGAUGGCGUGGAUUGAUGAAUUGAUUUAUGUAUGUGUCAACACAUGUUUCAUAAUAAGCUUUCUGCGUGUGGUGAUGGAUGUGAUACCCUUGUGCAACCCAUUUGCACCGAUUAUUUGCUCGCAUUUCCAUGUUUUUGUUAUGUAUUUCACACACUAAUCUACUAAUGGUCCCGUCGCUUUUAUUUUUCGACAUAUUUGAUUCA